AGGGGGAAAAGCUUUUAAUUGAAAAAUAAAUCAAUACAUCUCAAAUAAGACAGUGUGUUUUACAACAUACAAUGUAAUUGGUUGAAGAGAAUGGUUUUCCUAAGUGGUAUGGUGAAAUUUAAACAUUUCAUUUUGACCAUAAGCAAUGCCCCCAUCCCCCAACUCAAGUAAAAAUUCUCAUAGACUUUCAUUCUGAACUUAUAUUGUGAACCCAUUAGCCCUAGUCUUUCCUAAUUCAUUAACAAAUGGAAGACAGUCUGAAACAUAUCUGAUUACUUCAAUUUCUUUAUUUUCAAUCUUAGAAUUUUUUGUUCCAUACCUAGGUUACUUGGUACCUGAAUAAACCUCCUAAAAUAGUGACAUUAUUAGCCCCAUAUUCUCAAAUAGGAACUUUUUAAAACAUUAACAUUAUGCUUAUGCAAAAGUCUUAUGUAGAUAUAUAGAGAGACAUGGUCACCCCAAACAUUACAGAUAUUUAACUUAAGUCACAAAUUAAAUAGGCUACAGUGCUUUUCAAAAGGCAAUUCUUUCAAAUGAACUACCAGUCAACUUAUACACCAUAGCCAUUCGGCUUUUAAAGUUAUAUCCAAGUCUCAAAAUACUUUGAUAUAUUUAAAUUAUUCAACUAUUGAACUUAUUGCUUUAAACUAGGGGGGAAAAAAUUAGGUCAAAGUCUUUUUUUUUAGUUAUAAUUGUAAUUCCAAGGGUAUGUAACCAAAAUGAUAAUGUUCAAGUAUGUAGUCAACUUUCACUCUUUGGAAUGACAGAACAGAGGCUAUGCUCAUUUAUGUGUAUGGCUUCCUAUGUGAUUAUUGCGGACACCCAUUAAGUAAGUUACUCUUGUUUGAAAAAUUUUUUUACAAAAUAUCACUUCCAAAAUUAACAUCUUUAUUAAAUCAGUUAAGAAAUGUUCACUGUAGAAAAGUUAACAUUGAGGGUUUUAACAAAACCAAAAUAGAAAAAAACCCUUUGACCUCCAUAUUGCUUUUCCAUUUUUUUCAUAUCUAA
rnacentral:lncRNA from 1 species